GCCGAUUUAGCUCAGAGGCAGAGCAGCUGGCUGUUAACCAGUUGGUCGCAGGUUCGAUCCCCGCAAUCGGCGCCA
rnacentral:tRNA from 1 species